ensembl:lncRNA
GCUUAUAGCUCUGGGUUCAUCUUAGAUGAGACUGAAAGACAGAAGGCAAAGGAAGAAGCUCCAAAGAGUCUAGGGCUUGCUGGGCCCCGAAGUCAGGCCCCGGGGGAGGCUGAGGUGGCCGUGAUGGCGGCAGAGUGACUGCUGAAGGACAGGAGGUGCCACGGCCAAGAGAGUCUCUGGUGACAACAGCUGAGGCAGAGGGGUGACACGGACCUGCUCACUGCGACUGAAGAGCACUCUGGCUCUUAGUGACAUGAGGGAAUUACGCUUCUCUGGUUAUGAAAAAAGGUUCCCAUCAUCUUCCUCCUUCCUGCCCCACAGGAAGGGGACAGGGAAAGACCCACGCCGUGGAGGUGAGGAGUAAGAACCAGGACAGGAGACUUCUGAGUGAGCUGAUGCUGAUACUGAUCAAACAUGAAAAUGGGGGAAUUCCCUGGCGGUCCAGUGGAGUGGUUCCAGCUGAGCCUGAACUGGAAGGAUUCAGAGUCUGAGAUUAUCUGAUGAACUGGUACUAAUGGUAACCCACAGUUUCUACAUGAGGUCAGAGGAUCUUUGCUACUGUCCUCAAGCAUCACACUCCAAAUCCCACACAAGAAAACCCUUUGGAGCAACCAACCCCUCAGAGAUGAGAACCCCAGCAGAAACUCCAAGUUCCGCUGGUGUAUGGAGGGGUCUGCUGACGCACCUGUUGCCAAUGGAAGAGGGCGUCUCAGAGCAGCACAGCCCAGUCCAGGGUCGACCUCCAGGGCCAGCUCCUUGGACGCUCUCCUUCUCCUCCCUGCUACCGUCUGGAAGGUCCUGGGGCCUCAGCUCUCCAGCAGCAGUAGUGGGUGACCCUGCCCACUCAGGCUCAAGGAACUUUUCUUUUGACAGUGUGUGAGGAGCAGACGUACUUACACAGCACUUCUCCAACAGAGGCUCUCUGAGCCUAAAAAUAACAACUUCAGAAGCCAACGUGACGACCAUCUGGCUUCUUUUGAUGGGUCAGGCCCAAGGAAGUCAUAGAUAAGGGAACACACACCUUGCACGUGGACGGCAGGAAGGCAGCUGCCUCAGGUAAAAGGUAAAAUGUAGGCAGGCAGGGGUCUGAACUUGGAUGGGUGACAGUUAAAGAAAUUGACUCUGUCCUUUGAUUUCAGCCUGCGAGUCAAGUGGUGCUUUCACAUCGCCUUCCAUUUUAUUGAUCUUUUAGUCCUCAUCUACAUUUUUUUAAAUGAAAAAUCUUAUGACAAAAGCCAAAAGUCCAACAAACCCCUUAAAAAAAUAAUAAAAGGGCCUGGAUUGGAAAACCAGGAAAGCACUGAAUUAUAAAGUCUAAGCUAAUUUUUAAAUUUUUGUCUAAUAGGAGGAAAUAUAUUUGUUUAUUAACAGACACAAAAAUUCUCCUAUCUCUAAUAUGACCCUUCCACAUCUUGGGUUUUCCCAAUUUGAUUAAAUCACAAUCAGGACUGUCCUAUGGCUCCUGGGAACUGGUUCUGCCAACACUGGAGAGUCAGAAAUCCACUGUCUUGUUUCUGGACUUUACGCACACCUCUA